AACCGUAUAGCUUAAAAAGUAUGGCUUAGAGCGUACAGCAAUGUAAGAUGCAGGUUCGAUUCCUGCUACGGUUG
rnacentral:tRNA from 1 species